rnacentral:rRNA from 1 species
UACAGAGGUCCCAAGCGUUGUUCGGAUUCACUGGGCGUAAAGGGCGCGUAGGCGGGAUGGCAAGUCGGUCGUGAAAUCCUUCGGCUCAACCGAAGAACGUCGGCCGAUACUGCCGUUCUUGAGGGAUGCAGAGGAGAUUGGAAUUCCCGGUGUAGCGGUGAAAUUCGUAGAUAUCGGGAGGAACACCAGUGGCGAAGGCGGCGAUCUGGGUCGAUACUGACGCUGAGGAGCGAAAGCGUGGGGAGCGAACAGG